ensembl:lncRNA
AGAUCACUCCCGUUUAGAUUAUCAGUGAUUUUUUUUUCAUAGAAGCAAACAUUUUUCUUUUUCAUCAGAUAACAGAACCAUCAUUCACCUUACAUCAGAUAAUAUCUGUUUACAAUGUUUUCAUGCACUCUUGUCUGAGUGCUUUAUCCGGCAAUCAGGCUUAUUAGCAGUAUUGAUCCCACUCAGUAAGUGGUGGAAUGGAUCAGCCUAUAGCUUAGGCUCAUUAGUAAAACGGUAUAGACCCCCGCUGCUGCAAAUGAUCAGCACAAUAAUCACCUUAUAAACGCUUCAGUGUGAAAACGGCGCUUUAGCUGAUUUUUAUGUGCAGUAGAUUAUAGAGCAUGUAGAGUAAUGCACGUGUGAUUCGAAUAGAAUCAUGUGUCGUAAAUAUUUUAUAAGAGCUAUAUUUUACGGUCAGUGGCGACGAGUAAGAGUGAAGCAGGCGCCACCCUUCUCGCUAAAAUGGAAGACCGGAACGUAAACACCGUAAUAACAGGUGAAGGUCGCGUUUGAUCAGCGUAAAAAAACAAAACAAAAACAAAAACCCCCAAUGUCACGACAGUGAUGUCCGUUAGAAUUAGACGAACAAAUACGUAAAGAGAUGUUCGCAUUUUUUUAUUUGGACGUUGCUCACUGCAGCACCUUUGAACACGAGAGGCAGUCGGUGGAUCGACCUCGCUCUCUUGCGCAGGAUGCAAGCUGUUCGAUCCAUCAUUCCAGCGCCCCUGUUAUCAGCUAUUAUCAGCCUCGUGGCUCAGUUAUUUGUUGCGAGAGAGAUACCGAAGCAUCAGGCGAAUGUGCCUGCGCUGGAUUGAAAUGAAAGGAUUUAUUGGCCUGUUCGCCGUGUGCAUCGGUUGCUCUCCGUGGUGCUGAAACUGAGCGUCUGCGUCGAAACGAGAACGCUGGUUGUGAUAGGCGGUGGCUUUAAAAAUGAAUCAAAUCCUCAUCUUUUAAACCUCCCCCGUCCCCGAAAGUGUAACAAUGCGUCGAUGCAUUGUCUGUCUUCACCUUCACAACCCUUUACUUUACAUUUAUAAUCAUAUUGUCUUAAUUGGAUAUCGCUGCGCAUUGUUUACACAUAAAAUGAAUCCACAAGAAGUUAAAAAAAAGCCUGGCUUUCAAAACAAAAACAAAAAAACAGAAAACAGUCCCCCAGAUUCGAAGCAAACUUACCAAAUCUCCAGCUCAGUGUGAAAAUAACUGCGAUAUCGAGGUGAUGCUCCGCGUAUCGAGUCUCUUCUUCCCUAUGAGGCGUGAUAAAAACACGAAACCAUCUCGCAGGAUAUGAAUGCAACAAAGAACGCAAUCCGAGCUGAGUUUAAAAAUAUAUAUUUGUGUAUCAAGCAGCG